CUACGGGAGGCAGCAGUGGGGAAUAUUGGACAAUGGGCGAAAGCCUGAUCCAGCAAUGCCGCGUGAGUGAUGAAGGCCUUAGGGUUGUAAAGCUCUUACCAGGGAUGAUAAUGACAGUACCUGGAGAAUAAGCUCCGGCUAACUCCGUGCCAGCAGCCGCGGUAAUACAGAGGGAGCUAGCGUUGUUCGGAAUUACUGGGCGUAAAGAGUACGUAGGCGGUGAUUCAAGUCAGAGGUGAAAGCCUGGAGCUCAACUCCAGAACUGCCUUUGAAACUAGAUCGCUAGAAUUAUGGAGAGGUUAGUGGA
rnacentral:rRNA from 1 species